UAAGAAAAUUAUAUAAAGAGGGUAAGAAUUACAGGAUCCCACCACAGUGUUGCAAGUGAUUGCAAGGCUGUGUGGUCUAUCCUGAUAGCCUACUUCAGAGCUACAAAAUAGGGGGUAACCCAAAAUGAAAUGAAUUAGAGUAAGGGAGACCCCUGAAACAGGGGGAUCCCAAGAGGAGUAGCUCUGGUACAGAAAAAAAGGAAAAAUAGUAUUUAGAGGUAAAUGGAAUAAUAAAAGAGAGGGAGAAAGGAAAGGAAGGAUGCCAUAUAAUAAUGGGCAAAAGGGAUGAAGGGGGUAGAGAAACAAAAUCAGAGACAAGGUAACCCCUACUCCACCCUAAACCACCCACAGCUUGCAAAAGCAGGCAAUACUUGAGACUAACCAAUCCAAAGAGAGAGAAAAAUCCCCCCCCUUCUCUCACAAGCAGGCUCAAAUCUUGUGGGCAGUAGGGUCCUAA